rnacentral:rRNA from 1 species
AGACGGGUGUAGUAACGCGUGGUCAACCUACCGUUGAGUGGGGGAUAACUAGCCGAAAGGUUAGCUAAUACCGCAUACGAGUCCCGGGGGCAUCCCUGGGCCUUAAAAGGAGCAAUCCGCUCGAUGACGGGACCGCGUCCCAUUAGCUAGAUGGUGGGGUAACGGCCUACCAUGGCACCGAUGGGUAGCUGGUUUGAGAGAGCGACCAGCCACACUGGGACUGAGAAACGGCCCAGACUCCUACGGGAGGCAGCAGUGAGGAAUUUUCCGCAAUGGGCGAAAGCCUGACGGAGCGACGCCGCGUGUGGGAAGAAGGCCUUCGGGUCGUAAACCACUGUCGAAGGGGACGAUAAUGACGGUACCCUUGGAGGAAGCCCCGGUAACUACGUGCCAGCAGCCGCGGUAAGACGUAGGGGGGCGAGCGUUAUUCCGGAAUUCAUUUGGGCGUAAAGCGCUCGUAGGCGGGAUCGAUAGUCCGUGAAGAAAGACCUGGGCUCAACUCAGGGGAACGGCACGGAUACUUCGAUUCUUGAGGCAAUCCAGAGGGGUGAUGGGAUUUCCCCGGUGGUAGCGGUGGAAAAUGGCGUAGAAUAUCC